rnacentral:lncRNA from 1 species
AGAGAAGGAAAAAAUAGAGAAACGAAAGAAGAGAGAGAUUAGAAGCAAGGUUGAAAGACAAAGGAAUAUUACCCAAGCCUCAAGAAGAAGUUUGAAGGGAAGAAGACAGAAGGGAAGGAAAGAAGGAGAAAAUGAAACAAGACAAGAAAAUUACUAAAAACAGUGUUCACACUCACACACACACACACACACACACACACACAAGCAAUGGGGUGGUGGUGGGGGAAUGAACAAAAAAAAUACCAAAAGCAAAGAAAAAAAGAAAAAGAAAUUUCUCUGUGAUUUCAAUCCUGUGGCUAUCACCUGAGGUCUACAGUUUCCUGGCAGUUCCAAUUCAAGGUGUGACUCUGUUCUCACUAGUAGACAGGGGAGGCUUUCAGAGCCUAGAUCCAUGUGGGGUAAUCCCAGCAAGAUGGCAAUAGGAUUAUGGUGAGAUGCCAGUUUGGGGACUUUCAAAUACACAGAAAUUCAGGCCGAACCUGCCUUCUGCUUGUGGGAGUGGGGCCUGAUAUCUCUUGCCUCCCUGACCACAGCUCCCUGACCCUGGACAUCUGUGGCUGUCCCUCACCCAGUCACUGAGUCAGUUUAACACUGGUAGCCCUGAGAUGAAGCCAACCUGCAGCUACUCUGAGUCUCAGGUUCAGUUGACUCCUCCCUAAAAUGGCAUCCAAACAGGCCCUCUCUCCAGUGCAUAUGGCAGAUGCUUGGACUGGAGUCACUCACCAGCUAUUGUGCAUGGCAUCCACUGCUCCAUUCCACUGGUGCAUUUCUCCCUGAAGGCAUCUGGUGUCAUCCACUCUGUAGAUUCAAUCUUCUUUUCUUUGGUCACAAGCUAGAAGCCAGGAAGAAAGGAGGGGAUUGCCCCUUCCUUUUUCUCUGUUUUGGUCUGUCUUUUCAGUUUCUCUGUAGGCUCCAGUUUUCCCUUCAAAUCCUUCCUGGGUCCCAGGGAUCCACCUCCCUCCUUUUCUUUCCCAAGUUGUUAUUUUCCAGUGUCUGGAUUCCGAAUCUUGGAGAGGCUGAUUUGUUGCUGCUUACUGCUCUGCCAUCUUCCCGGAAAUCUCAAGAUUUACAUUUAUUAAGCAAGAAAAAAAAUCAACAAAGUGAAGAGACAACCUACAGAAUGGGGAGGGCGUGGAUUGCCAGCUACUCCUCAGACGGAGGACCAACAUACAAAGAACUCAAAAAAAAUUAGACCCCCCAAAACAAAAGACUCAAGCAAAUGAGUAAACAUUUCUCAAAAGAAGCACAAAUGGUCAAUGAGUACAUGGAAAAAUAUUCAGCACAUUUGACCAUUAGAGGAAUGCAAACCCAAACGACGCCGAGAUUCCAUCUUCAGGAAGGACAGCUGUCAUCAAGGACUAAAAAACAACACAUGCUCAGUUGCAGGGAAAAGGAGCCCUUCUACAUUGUUGGUGGGAAUAUAAGCUAGUACCACAAUGAAUUCAGUGUAGAGAGUCUGCAAAAAACUAAAAAAGAAAUUCCAUUUGACCCAGCUAUAUCUCUCCCUGUUAUCUUACUGAAAGCGUUAAAGUCAUCAUGUUGCAGUGAUACAUGCACACCCAUGACUGUAGCAGCACAAUUCAUAAUAACUAAAUUAUGGAAGUUAGCCUAUAUUCCCAUCAACAGAUGAAUGAAUAAAGAAUAUGUGAUGAUAUAUACACAAAGGAGUACUACUAAGCCAAAAAGAAGGAUAAAUUUGAGUUAUUUAUAGGAAAAUGGAUCUUGAGACUAUAGUGCUAAAUGCAUUAAAUCAGACUGAGUUUAAAUCAGACAUAGAAGGUUAAACAUCACUUGAUUUCUCUUAUAAAAAAAUAAAGAGCAAGACAAAAGAGAGAGGGUAGGAAUAAAGGAGGUAGACUUUUUAGACAUAGAAAGAGGGGAUCUGGGAUGGAGCAAUGGGGAGGGAAAGGAGUAAAAAGGAUCAACACGCAAUAUGUAUAUGUACCAAUUCUCCAAAAUUAAUAGUAUGUGUCAUAAACAUACUAAUAAAAAGAAAUUUUUAAAAAAGAAUGAAGUGUGGACUGCUCAGUGUGUGACCACCCCCAUAGCACACCACCUGUUCAAGGAAGCUCCUUCCCUCACAA